UGUGGUAUUUGACUAUACAAAGGUAUUGUAAUAAGACUUUAAUUGAGUGCUAAAAGAAAGGAAUUACAAAAAAAGGCUUUUUUAAUUUUAAAAAUUAAAAUUAUUUUUUUUUGUGAAGAAACAAAAAUUUAAAUUAAAGACAAGAAGACCCUAAGAAUUUUUUUUUUUAUUAAAAUAAUAUUUUAUUUUAAAAAUUUAAUUGGGGCGAUUAAUUAAUAUUAAAAACUUUAUUAACAAAAAAAAAAUGAUCCAUUAUUAAUGAUUAUUUGAUUAAAAUACUCUAGGGAUAACAGCGUAAUAAUUUUUGAUAGUUCUUAUAGAAAAAAUAGUUUGCGACCUCGAUGUUGGAUUAGGAUUCUUUUUUAAUGAAGAAGUAAAAAAAGAAGUU
rnacentral:rRNA from 1 species